AAAUUAUCACCUGUCCUAGGAUAACCCUAGUGGUGCCACUCAGGUUUAACAUUAGUCAGAUAGCCUUGUGGGAAGGGACACGCUACACCUUACAGUUCAUCUUUCGCCAUCGCCAUGCCGACAAACAGCUACAACAGCCAUCGUGGUCAUCUGAUCUUACAGUGCCUAUAGACUUUGCAGGUCAUCCUCCAUGUAUAAACGAUUCAUCCAACAUGUAUCAACAUUCAUAUGAAGAUUUUUAAUCCUGUACCAUUUCAUCAUGAUGCAUGAAAUUAUUUUUAGCCAUCAUCUCAUGAUAUAUUGUGACAUAUAAACUCAUCCUGACAUUUGUGUACUGUUCUGUUCUUGUGAAAUUUUUCCUGAUUUUAUAAAUCCGGUCAGUGCCGUUGAAUCUGCAAUUUCAGAAACACUAGUUGAAUUUAUGAUAUCUACAAUUCAACUGGUUGAAUGAAUCAUGCCUGCUGUUCAUUCGGUUGAAUAUGACAUUUCUGCAAUUAACUGAUUGAGCAUGCAUUCACAUUAAUGAAAUAUGGAUUGAAUACAUUUUAACUGGUUGAAUUGUCAAUAUCUUUGGUCCCAUCUUGAGAUGGAACCUAAAGUUGUGUUGAAUAUGCAGUUCAGCUGGUUGAAUUACUUUUACAGUACGACUGGUUCUGAGGUUACACAUGUUAUUACAGGAACUUUAACUUAUUAAACCCCUGAAGACAUAUUUGAACUUUUCCAAUUCAAAGGUUGGAAUAGUUCAUUAUGAAGUUUCAGGGGUAUGCAGUUCCACUCUUACUAUUCUAGUGUGACAUAACAAGGAUGAGUUCAGUUAUUCAAGCCGGUAAACAAGCUCUAUGUUAAUUUUUUCUUUGAUUUUAAAUUGCAAUGUUCACAAAACGUAAUGGAUAAAUGUAAGCUUAUGUAAUCAUGUACGGUAUAACGUCAACCUUCUUUCUGUCGAGGAAAGAAGGACUAGAAACCAGAUUGUUAACUGAAUCGGGAUCCAUGGGGGAUUUGCAAUAGAAGUUGUUAAUAUAUGAUUUUGUAGAUAGAUUCCAUAUAGAUUUGAGUUAAAUCUUUUAAAGAUAAGUUAAUUUUGUAAUAAGUGUACAGUUAAUUCAAAUACCUAACUAUAUGAUAAUAUUUGCAUGUUAUGUUAAACAUACUGAAAAUGGUGUCAGAGAUUGUCAUGGAAGCAAUUCUGGAAUUCUUUGAAAAAAGUUUCAAGGAAAAUCAUCAAGGAUUUAUUUCAUGAUUGGUAUAUUCAACUAAUCCCAGCUAUUGGUCCUGUAUGGGAGUCUGGAGUACAUGGUUAUUACGUGGAAUGCCUUUUGCUGGGCUAACACAGAUCUAUAAUUUAAUUUAAGUGCCCACACGUAGUUAUGCUUAAUAAAUUUCCAAAUAUACAGAGAAAUUUAUUGGUGAAAAUUUGAGUGAAUAGCUUACAUUGAUUGCAGAUGAACAAACAAUAUUGAUAUGUUGCUUGAGUUGCACUUUAGCCUCUCUUGAGUCCUUUUAAGUUGCAUUUUAUUAUUUUGAAUGAUCUUUGUUUUUUAUAUCAUUAUAAGCUACGGUAUGUUAGGUUGUUCCUUAGGACCCUUGGCAGUGUGUCAUAACAUAGCAAGUCAUGGAUUUAGAGAACUUUUUAUUUCGACUAAAACAUGAUGACAACUAUGUUAAUAUAGAUUAUUGAUAAGUAUUUUUUCUAUAGGGAAUGAACUUGAAACAAUGGCUUGUACAUAGACUUCUUUGUUGAAAACUUAGUGAGGGCAGCUACUAAUUAAUGAAAGCUGGAUGAACUCUGGGAGAUAACUCUGUCAAAUCCAUAAUUAAACUGAAGUGGAUUUCUUUUUUGUCUCAAAGUUGCCAUACUCACCAAAUUUCCUCUUUCAAUUAAUAGAACAUUAAAAAAAAAUCGUAAUCUAUAAACCAGACUUUAAAGUCAAUGAAUGUGCUAGAUAUGUAUUUCACUGUAGAAUCAGGGGACAUGAGUUAUCUCCACUUGUCUUCGUCUAUAAGUAGUCAAGGUUUCGAUAGCCAAUUGACAUGGCAACAGGAGGUAAGGUGACUUAUUUCCAGUAACAAGAGUGCUGUAUCUUAAUAAUAUUGUUAAUCCUGUCUUUGCUGACAGUAAUAUGUUGCCAUAGUGAUUGCUUCCUUUCCUGCCCAUUAUGACCUCUGGAUAGGAUUUUUAAAUGUCCUCAUCGGUCCAUACAUUUCUAGAUUUAGUCCAUUUUGUGACCCUGAGGCACUUUGUGAUUUAUGCUGAGUAGUGAAUAAAACAGCUGAUUAGGAUCCAAGUCAUCAGAGUUCAAGGUCAAAGUUAGGACAAUGACAGUUCAAGGUCAAAGUUAGGACAAUGACAGUUCAAGGUUACUGUAAGGAUUAUAAGAGUUCAAAGUUAGAGUAACCUUUUUUUUCCAUGUCAGAUAUUGAAGUUCCAGUUGUGUUUUAUCAGUCAUAGUGAAAUCCUGAUUGGUUUGCAAUAUUAGCAAUUUGCUUACAAGGACAUUACUAUGUCAAGCAAACUGUCAUGAUACUGUUUUUGUAGUCACGCAUUGAGUACCUGUUUUUUAUGCUGUAGAUCUUCUGAAUAUCUUGUUUCAGAAGUCUGAAAUUUGUUUUAUAUUACUAUUAUUAUUCGCUAUUUAAGUUUCUUUUCGUAGAAAAUUAUUGCUCAAAUGUUGUCUUGCUUUUAUUAUUAAUCAUUUAUUUUCUGUUCUGUCUUAAGAUAACCAAUAUGCAGUAAUGGUGUCAAGUAUAAACUUUUAAUUCAAAUGAUCACUAGAAGGUGAUGGCUACACUACUAAUAUCUAAUGGACAAAAAAAAAGUGUGUCUUGAGUUUAUCUCCCAUUAUUUAAUGUGCCCGCACACAGUUUAAUAUUUCCUUGCUAUUUUUGUUGAAAUAAAUAACAGACAUUGUGCCAAAAUUUAUCAUAAUCGGAAAGAAAAUGACAAAAAUCGGACAGAAGAUAUUUAUUUGGGAUCAUUACCGCAUACUUGUGUUUCUGUAAGCCUUGAAAAGGCGCCUCUUCUUUAAAUAACCAAUGCAUAUUGAUGAAGCCUAACAUGGGCUCUCUUCUCGCAGUGUGGGGAAAGGGAGCUUACUGGUGAGGCUAUAUAUAACAACUGUAGAUCAAUUUAAUUUUUAUUUGUACAAAAUCACAAAAUAAAAUAAUUUUUAACUUGUA